UACGUAGGGGGCAAGCGUUGUCCGGAAUUAUUGGGCGUAAAGCGCGUGUAGGCGGCCAGAUAAGUCCGCUGUGAAAUCUCGAGGCUCAACUUCGAGCUGUCGGUGGAAACUGUCUGGCUAGAGUCCGGAAGAGGAGAAUGGAAUUCCUGGUGUAGCGGUGAAAUGCGCAGAUAUCAGGAAGAACACCCGUGGCGAAGGCGGUUCUCUGGGACGGUACUGACGCUGAGACGCGAAAGCGUGGGAGCGAACAGG
rnacentral:rRNA from 1 species